rnacentral:piRNA from 1 species
UGUCCAGUCAGGAAACAGAUGGACGCUC